rnacentral:rRNA from 1 species
UACGAGAGGCCCAAACGUUAUUCGGAUUUACUGGGCUUAAAGAGUUCGUAGGCGGCGCAGAAAGUGGGGUGUGAAAGCCCUCGGCUCAACCGAGGAAUUGCGCUCCAAACUACUGUGCUAGAGGAAGCUAGAGGUGAGCAGAACAGAUGGUGGAGCGGUGAAAUGCGUUGAUAUCUGGAGGAACACCGGUGGCGAAGGCGGCAUCCUGGACCAACACUGACGCUGAGUGAGCGAAAGCCAGGGGAGCAAACGGG